GCGCUUGCUUCGGUAACACGUGUACUAAAAUUGGAACGAUACAGAGGAGAUUAGCACUGCCCCUGCCGCAAGGAUGACACGCAAAAUCCGAUCGAGAAGACUGAUGUCA
rnacentral:snRNA from 1 species